rnacentral:rRNA from 1 species
UACGGGGGGGGGCAAGCGUUGUUCGGAAUUACUGGGCGUAAAGGGCGCGUAGGCGGCCUCUUAAGUCGAACGUGAAAUCCCCGGGCUCAACCCGGGAACUGCGUCCGAUACUGGGAGGCUUGAAUCCGGGAGAGGGAUGUGGAAUUCCAGGUGUAGCGGUGAAAUGCGUAGAUAUCUGGAGGAACACCGGUGGCGAAGGCGGCAUCCUGGACCGGUAUUGACGCUGAGGCGCGAAAGCCAGGGGAGCAAACGGGG